AAAGUCGUAACAAGGUUUCCGUAGGUGAACCUGCGGAAGGAUCAUUAUUGAUUGUGAAUGGUUGCCUUCAGUGCUGGCUCCGGCAAGUGCACGCUGGUGACUUCAAUCCAAUACCCUUGUGAACCAUUGGCCUCUUGCUAGCUUCGGCUGGUAGAGGAUAUUUACACCAACUCGAAUGUAAUGAAAUUAUUGUUGUGCGCAAGCACUAAUGUACAACUUUCAACAACGGAUCUCUUGGCUCUCGCAUCGAUGAAGAACGCAGCGAAAUGCGAUAAGUAAUGUGAAUUGCAGAAUUCAGUGAAUCAUCGAAUCUUUGAACGCACCUUGCACCCUUUGGCAUUCCGAAGGGUAUGCUCGUUUGAGUGUCAUUGUACUCUCACACUUCCAAUUCUUUGGAUUGGGAGUGGUGGACUUGGGUGCUGCUGCGCUUUACUGUGGCUCACCUCAAAUGCAUUAGUGCAACCCUUGGUUAGACAUAGUACGGCGUGAUAAGUGUCUUCGCUGGCGCCUCACUUUGAGGGUGGCUGAUCAGGGGCUCUGUGCUUCAAACCGUCUUUGGACAAUGGCUGACAACUUGACCUCAAAUCGAGUAGGACUACCCGCUGAACUUAAGCAUAUCAAUAAGCGGAGGAAAAGAAACUAACAAGG
rnacentral:rRNA from 1 species